CCGGGGCUAAUACCGGAUAACAUUUUGAACCGCAUGGUUCGAAAUUGAAAGGCGGCUUCGGCUGUCACUUAUGGAUGGACCCGCGUCGCAUUAGCUAGUUGGUGAGGUAACGGCUCACCAAGGCAACGAUGCGUAGCCGACCUGAGAGGGUGAUCGGCCACACUGGGACUGAGACACGGCCCAGACUCCUACGGGAGGCAGCAGUAGGGAAUCUUCCGCAAUGGACGAAAGUCUGACGGAGCAACGCCGCGUGAGUGAUGAAGGCUUUCGGGUCGUAAAACUCUGUUGUUAGGGAAGAACAAGUGCUAGUUGAAUAAGCUGGCACCUUGACGGUACCUAACCAGAAAGCCACGGCUAACUACGUGCCAGCAGCCGCGGUAAUACGU
rnacentral:rRNA from 1 species